GCUGUCCCCACGCUCAGAAAUUGUAAAAGGAAAAGACGGCUUUCUUGGCCUUUGAAGUCCUUACCUGAGAAAAGGAGCCCAAAAAGAAGCUUGACCCUGGAAGAAGGCAGUCUAGGAUGGUCUCACGACAAGUAUCACCCACGAGGGACCCCCUAAGGGACCCAAGGAUGCUCACCUACUCUCAGCCCCUCACCCUUUGCAAAACUGCAUUUCUGUCUUGGACACUUCCUUUUGGAGGAUGGACAUUCAUCUUUUUUGUUGGCUCAAGCUUUCUCUGUAAGCCCCACCUGCUUUCUCUGGAGUGUCACUGUCAUAGCCAUGUCCUCAAGAACCUGGUCUUCCAGGUCCGGUAAGGCGUGGAGCAGUAAAAGCACCGGGCUGUGCCUUCCCCCACCUCCACA